GAACGCUGGCGGCAUGCUUUACACAUGCAAGUCGAACGGCAGCGCGGGGGCAACCCUGGCGGCGAGUGGCGAACGGGUGAGUAAUAUAUCGGAACGUACCCAAGAGUGGGGAUAACGUAGCGAAAGUUACGCUAAUACCGCAUACGAUCUACGGAUGAAAGCAGGGGACCGCAAGGCCUUGUGCUCGUGGAGCGGCCGAUAUCUGAUUAGCUAGUUGGUAGGGUAAAGGCCUACCAAGGCAUCGAUCAGUAGCUGGUCUGAGAGGACGACCAGCCAAACUGGGACUGAGACACGGCCCAGACUCCUACGGGAGGCAGCAGUGGGGAAUUUUGGACAAUGGGCGCAAGCCUGAUCCAGCAAUGCCGCGUGAGUGAAGAAGGCCUUCGGGUUGUAAAGCUCUUUUGUCAGGGAAGAAACGGGUUUGGCUAAUAUCCAGAUCUAAUGACGGUACCUGAAGAAUAAGCACCGGCUAACUACGUGCCAGCAGCCGCGGUAAUACGUAGGGUGCAAGCGUUAAUCGGAAUUACUGGGCGUAAAGCGUGCGCAGGCGGCUUUGCAAGACAGAUGUGAAAUCCCCGGGCUUAACCUGGGAACUGCAUUUGUGACUGCAUGGCUGGAGUGCGGCAGAGGGGGAUGGAAUUCCGCGUGUAGCAGUGAAAUGCGUAGAUAUGCGGAGGAACACCGAUGGCGAAGGCAAUCCCCUGGGCCUGCACUGACGCUCAUGCACGAAAGCGUGGGG
rnacentral:rRNA from 1 species